rnacentral:rRNA from 1 species
AGAGUUUGAUCCUGGCUCAGGAUGAACGCUGGCGGCAUGCCUAAUACAUGCAAGUCGAACGAGAGGAAGGAAAGCUUGCUUUCCUAAAUCUAGUGGCGAACGGGUGAGUAACACGUAGGUAACCUGCCCAUGUGCCCGGGAUAACUUCUGGAAACGGAUGCUAAAACCGGAUAGGUAGCAGACAAGCAUUUGACUGCUAUUAAAGUGGCUAAGGCCAUGAACAUGGAUGGACCUGCGGUGCAUUAGCUAGUUGGUGAGGUAACGGCCCACCAAGGCGACGAUGCAUAGCCGGCCUGAGAGGGCGGACGGCCACAUUGGGACUGAGACACGGCCCAAACUCCUACGGGAGGCAGCAGUAGGGAAUUUUCGUCAAUGGGGGGAACCCUGAACGAGCAAUGCCGCGUGAGUGAGGAAGGUCUUCGGAUCGUAAAGCUCUGUUGUAAGAGAAAAACGGCACUCAUAGGGAAUGAUGAGUGAGUGAUGGUAUCUUACCAGAAAGUCACGGCUAACUACGUGCCAGCAGCCGCGGUAAUACGUAGGUGGCGAGCGUUAUCCGGAAUGAUUGGGCGUAAAGGGUGCGUAGGUGGCAGAUCAAGUCUGGAGUAAAAGGUAUGGGCUCAACCCGUACUUGCUCUGGAAACUGAUCAGCUAGAGAACAGAAGAGGACGGCGGAACUCCAUGUGUAGCGGUAAAAUGCGUAGAUAUAUGGAAGAACACCGGUGGCGAAGGCGGCCGUCUGGUCUGGAUUCUGACACUGAAGCACGAAAGCGUGGGGAGCAAAUAGGAUUAGAUACCCUAGUAGUCCACGCCGUAAACGAUGAGAACUAGGUGUUGGGGGAAUAACUCAGUGCCGCAGUUAACGCAAUAAGUUCUCCGCCUGGGGAGUAUGCACGCAAGUGUGAAACUCAAAGGAAUUGACGGGGGCCCGCACAAGCGGUGG